CUUUUGAGCUUUUCAGUGGCAAGUUGGCUGCGGAAUGGGCGCGAUGCGUCUGGCAAAACAAGUGAACUGGUGGCAAGGUUUGUUGGCUUCGCUCCUGGCGGCGGUUCACCUUCGCGGCGGCAGGGGAAAAUACUCUAUAAAAGGGCCCCGGUUUUUGGGUUUUUCUCUUCACGUCGCCGCUGUGACGUUAUACAGGUAGGUACUUACAUAGCCACAUACCACUUAUGCAAUCCCCUGCCGGCGACCUUGGCUAUCUUCUUUUUCCAGACAGAAUUGCAAAAGCCCAAUGCUCCGCUCACCCAUUCACUGCAGCUCUCUUUUAGAUCGUUUAAUGGCUUCAUUUGGCGUAAUUCAACUGGAGCAAAGUUCAACGCUAAUAGAUCAAAUGGGCCAGGGAGAGAUAUACCACUUUUUUUGCAGCUACUCAAGGCUAAAUGAAAUAAAUGCCUUAAUUACUAUAAUUACUAUGCCAAAGAAUGCUUUUCGGUGGCUGAGUGAUGGACAGACAGCCAAAGCCGCAAAAUCAAUAAACAUGUCUAUAUUAAAAAUUUCGUUGUUUGCCUAUUGCACAAUUUCAAUGUCAUCUAAGAAAAAAAAAAAGAAAAAAUUAACAAGCCGGCGUUAAGGGCGUGACUAAGGGCGUUU